GGUCAGUGUCAUACCACCCUGAACACCACCAAUCUCCUGAUUUUGGAAGCUAAGUAAGGUCAGGCCAGGUUAGGACUUGGAUACAAGAUUCCCUGAGAAUGCCAGGUGCUGUACUCU
rnacentral:rRNA from 1 species